CGGUGUUUGGCACCUCGAUGUCGGCUCAUCACAUCCUGGGGCUGAAGUAGGUCCCAAGGGUAUGGCUGUUCGCCAUUUAAAGUGGUACGCGAGCUGGGUUUAGAACGUCGUGAGACAGUUCGGUCCCUAUCUGCCGUGGGCGCUGGAGAACUGAGGGGGGCUGCUCCUAGUACGAGAGGACCGGAGUGGACGCAUCACUGGUGUUCGGGUUGUCAUGCCAAUGGCACUGCCCGGUAGCUAAAUGCGGAAGAGAUAAGUGCUGAAAGCAUCUAAGCACGAAACUUGCCCCGAGAUGAGUUCUCCCUGAGACUUAGAGUCUCCUGAAGGAACGUUGAAGACGACGACGUUGAUAGGCCGGGUGUGUAAGCGCAGCGAUGCGUUGAGCUAACCGGUACUAAUGAACCGUGAGGCUUAACCUUACAACGCCGAAG
rnacentral:rRNA from 1 species